UCAUUUUCUCCUGGUUUUCAGGGAGGGA
rnacentral:piRNA from 1 species